UCCCCGUAGCAGUGUCAAUGGAAUCACAGAGAGAAGCAAGGAUAAAGGUAGAACAAAAGCAGCUGCCUUUCUUUACAGUGCAUCUGUGAAAUGGACUGUUAAGCAUUACUGCCUGAAACCCAGUCAGGGGAUGGGCACUUCACUUUGAAGCCACCAAGUCGAAAGUGCUAUUGGAUGAAACUCUGCUCUACUGAACCAUGAAAUGGGUUUUCAAAGGGGCCGAGAAUGAUAGACGUGUGAGCUGUCAGUAAAACUGUCUCACCAGAGUGGCAACAUUCAUAAUGAAGCAGAAGGAAGUGCUACCAUGUGAUGGGCAUCUGUCCAAGUCACCCACAGAGCCAGGCCAAAUUGCAAUCAGAGGAGUGUUCCAAGGAGCCCAGAGGAGCAUCAGUGCCCUGCAUCUGUCCAUAGCCUCUUCAUUUAGACAUGUGGGUACAGAAAUGAAAAGCUACGGACAGGCAGUUUUAAGUCCCUUGCUGUGUAUGUCUGCAUAGACAUAGUCAUUUAAAGCUAGAGCUGUUUUCCGACUUUAAGCAUCAACU